rnacentral:rRNA from 1 species
CCUACGGGAGGCAGCAGUAGGGAAUGUUCGUCAAUGGGCGCAAGCCUGAACGAGCGAUGCCGCGUGAGUGAAGAAGGCCUUCGGGUCGUAAAGCUCUGUUGCGGGGGAAAAAAGGCAGCAUCAGGAAAUGGGUGCUGACUGAUGGUGCCCCGCCAGAAAGUCACGGCUAACUACGUGCCAGCAGCCGCGGUAAUACGUAGGUGGCGAGCGUUAUCCGGAAUGAUUGGGCGUAAAGGGUGCGCAGGCGGUCCUGCAAGUCUGGAGUGAAACGCAUGAGCUCAACUCAUGCAUGGCUUUGGAAACUGGAGGACUGGAGAGCAGGAGAGGGCGGUGGAACUCCAUGUGUAGCGGUGAAAUGCGUAGAUAUAUGGAAGAACACCAGUGGCGAAGGCGGCCGCCUGGCCUGUUGCUGACGCUGAGGCACGAAAGCGUGGGGAGCAAAUAGGAUUAGAUACCCCUGUAGUC